rnacentral:rRNA from 1 species
UGGGGAAUAUUGGACAAUGGGCGCAAGCCUGAUCCAGCCAUGCCGCGUGAGUGACGAAGGUCUUCGGAUUGUAAAGCUCUUUUGGCGGGGACGAUAAUGACGGUACCCGCAGAAUAAGCCCCGGCUAACUUCGUGCCAGCAGCCGCGGUAAUACGAAGGGGGCUAGCGUUGUUCGGAAUCACUGGGCGUAAAGCGCACGUAGGCGGAUUUGUUAGUCAGGGGUGAAAUCCCGGGGCUCAACCUCGGAACUGCCCUUGAUACUGCAAAUCUCGAGUCCGAUAGAGGUGAGUGGAAUUCCUAGUGUAGAGGUGAAAUUCGUAGAUAUUAGGAAGAACACCAGUGGCGAAGGCGGCUCACUGGAUCGGUACUGACGCUGAGGUGCGAAAGCGUGGGGAGCAAACAGGAUUAGAUACCCCCGUAGUCCCUGAGCGGGCUGGCAAGGCG